rnacentral:rRNA from 1 species
CUUUUUCUUCGAUAAGAACUCUAAGAAAAAAUUACGCUGUUAUCCCUAAGGUAAUUUUUCUUUUAAUCUUUAGUAAAAGGAUCAUUAAAUAAAAAGCCACUUAUCUAUGUAUUAAUAAAAAAAAAGUUAAAUAAAUUUUUUAAUCACCCCAAUCAAAUAUUUAUUUUUAAAAAAUUUUUCCCCUUAAAAUUUUCCUUUAAAAAUAAAUAUUAAACUCUAUAGGGUCUUCUCGUCUUUUACAAAAAUUUAAGCUUUUUAACUUAAAAAUAAAAUUCAAAAAUUUAAAAUUGAGACAGUUAUUUUUUCAUCAAACCUUUCAUUCCAGCUUUCAAUUAAAAAACUAAUGAUUAUGCUACCUUAGCACAGUCAAAAUACUGCGGCCGUUAAA